AGGCCACGCUGCCCUGAGGGGGCAGAAAGUCAGGCUUGCAGAACAGGACUGAGGCAGUUAUGGGCUCUGAAAUUUCCACUGACUGGAGAAACCCAACGGGUAUGUGCAGGGGAGGGAGUGGUUUGGUAGGGGACGGGAAGGGGGUGGGAGUGGGAGGAAGAGAUGGAUGCAUUGUCUUAAAACACUCCGUUUUCUUCCCAUCAAGUACAUUAUCUCCCCAAGGUUGUAUUACACAAAUUUACAUUUUGAAGUAAAUAUCUGGCACCACAGGCUGGCUCAUGAAAUAGAAUGUGCACAGGAAAGAGAAUCACAUGUCAUUAAAUGUGAAGAAUUAUAUAAGGUACCUAAGCUGGAUCCUGGCUUCUCAUGAUGCUCAAUGAAUUGAGAUGGAGGAGGAGAAGUGGGAGGAGAAUGAAGAGGGAAGAAGGAGAAGGAGGAAGAAGAAAUCUGUAAGCAAAGCCAUCACACUAUAGUUUUUUCCCACCGAAAGAAUGUUUAUUAAGCCAGAGCCUGGGAUAAUAAUUUGAGGGUUUGCUCAUGUCUCUCUUUUAUCAUUCAUAAUUGAAAUACUAUUGACAUUUCUUGGGCAUCUGAAGAUGAGCUUAAUUUAUUUUCAUCUUUUUUGAAAUUUGAUAUCAAUAACAUGCACGAAGCCACAUGGUGCCCAAAUGAGGCUUCAAAAGCUUCUGCUAUAAAUAAAGAAAUUGCCUGCAUUUUUUAUAGCUCUUUACAUGAUUUUAUUUGAUCCGAACAACCACUCUGUGAGAGGGGCAGAGGAGGUGUUAUUAUCUUCACUUUUUUUUUUUCAAAAAGUAUAGUAAUAUAGAUUUACAAAGCCUAAUGAAUUUCCCAAGAUUUCCUAGCCUGAUGUGUGAGACUUGAGGUUGAAAACCAGGUCUUUGAUUCUCUAUCUGCUCCCUCCAGUACAACAUGGCAUUUGCUCAAGGGAGUCAGGUCAACACAGAACCAUAAACUCAGAGUGAGAAUCCUCAUGUCAGUUGCCAAACCACGUCCUUUGAGGAUAAUAACAAAUAUGAAGUCCCUUCUCUCACUCAGUCAAUUUACCUUUCAAGCAACUCAUCACCAUCAAGUCCACUCCUGCCCCUCCUGUGCCCUGAUCUUCCUCAUGAGUCCAUAUCCCUACUUUAAAACCAGUAAAUCUCACCUUUUCUAGAAAGUUCUCCUUGAUUAAUUCUACUUUAACUUGACUUUUAAACAAAGAGGUUCUUAAUUUCUUAGUUUGCAGUAGUUCUUAGUUUGUACAUGUUGGGUUGAAUUUUUUUUUUUAAAUAGUGAUUUUAGCUAUAGUGCUGGACACAACUUUGUAUAGUAGGAAAUGGUUUUUAAAAUAUUAAACAGUUUGAAAUCGAUAUUCUAUAAAUAAAAAGAGCUGAAAAUCAGCAAUUUAACAUAGGUCAGUUCAGUCUUAACCGUCAUUUUGUAGAGAUUGUUUUUUCUCAGUUUUCUCUUUUUUUCCUUCAAGAAAUGAUGCUGGUCUGAGCUAACUGCUUGCUUCUGCCCCUAAAGUAAAAGGUGAUAACAGAAAUCAGAAGAAAAAGAGUAUCUUACACCUUGUGGGUCUCAAAAACCUGAACCAUCAAGGAAAAGACAUCAAUCUAAGGAAGAGGAAGUUUGGGGGAAAACAACAAACCUCUCCACCCCUUUGGUGAGGAGGGAAACUAAAGGGAUUAGAGCCAACUCCAUGUGUAUAAGUUUCAACGAUCUGAGCAAGAAGGCUGGAUUGAGAAGAUCUUCGGCUCCUCUGAAGAGGGCACUGCCCAGCAUCAGUGGACAGAAGCCUUUGGGAAGCUGAGGCAGCACCAGGAGUUCACUGGGAUGGUCACUCCACAAAGGGUGCUGCCUCAAAGCUCCAUUUCCUGUCUGUUGAUAAUUACUAGCGUGCUGCUCCUUGAUCACCCCAAAAAGAAUCCAAGGGAAUGACUCUACUCUCUGUCCGGAAAGUCUGCCUGGCCCCUGCCCACCUCCUCCCCAUAGACACCUCCUCCCCAUAGACACCUCCUCCCCUUCACUCCAGAGCCCCCAGCCCCAAGCCUUGUCUACCCCAUACUUUUGCAAGGUGCUUGACCAAUUCGCCCAAGGCAGAAACGUCUUUCAGGCACCUGUGUCCCAUCUUGCGCUUAUGCAUGAUGUCGCAACGCUCAAGCACUUUUCUAACCAUCUUUCCUUAUAUUUUUCCAACAGAUUUUUCAAAUAAGUAAGAGAGAAAAGUGCUAAGAAUUAAAUACCCUCUUUUUAUUUGUUCGCUGGGUCUUCCUCAAGAGAUACACCCCACCUAUUAAGAUAUUUCUCCCUCAUUUUAAUGUGUUCAGAAAAAAGGGAAGAGCUGCAAUAACUGUUACUGAGUUACUUGUGUUCCAGGGGCUUUCAGAAGAUUAAUCUGGCAUUGGUGCCCGAGACGGAUGAAGUGGUGAGAAGCCAGGUCUUGGGGCGGGGGGGCUUUUGCAGGAAUCUGGGAAUGAGGUGACUUGCUCAGAGUUACUUAUCACACUGGGCUUUAAAAAUGAUAAUUAUCUUAGUGAUCUGUUAUCUCAAAGCUGGGUUACUCACUCAGAUGAAUAAAGUACUCAUUUAUUUUUCAUUCCUUAGUGCCCUAAAGUUACUAGGCCGGAAAAGAUUUAUGUGACACAUUUAAAGGCCCAAGACAGACUAUUGAAAGAAGGCAGAUCAGUCUCAUGGAGAUUUUGCUUCCUCCUCUUUAAUCUCCUUCCCAGGCGACAUCUUAGAGCAGGUUCGAACCCCCGUCUCAAGAGGCCUUGUAAAGGAUUCUGACUUCAGAGCGAGUUGUGAUAAAACAAAAGUUGACUUUCAACAGAAGUUAGCAUGGGGGAAGUCAAAUGCGGAAGAACGUAUAAAACCUCCCACAAGUCCAUGGGCUUUGAAGGUAAACUAUUGUUUAGAGAGGGCUGGAGAUGAAUCUGGUCCCUCCCUGCCCAAGUGUCAGGGCUCUGUGAGUAUAACUCCACUUAUAAAGCCCUUGAACACUGUUUACCUUGAAUUUCAGUUUUCCUCUUUAUUGCCCAGUUGCUCAAGCCACAAGUUAGACGUGAUCCUCAUUUCCCUUCCUCUUCUUCAACCCGAACAUCCCAUCAACCACUAAUUCUCAUGGCUCAGUGGCUCAAACUUUUUUCUUUUGUCUUUUUAGGGCCACACCCACGGCAUAGCGAGGUUCCCAGGCUAGGGGUCCAAUCGGAGCUAUGGCUGCCAGCCUACGCCACAGCCACAGCAACGCUGGAUCCUUAACCCAUUGAGCGAGGCCAGGGAUGGAAUCCGAGAUCUCAUGGUCCCUAGUCAGAUUCGCUUCCGCUGCACCACAACGGGAACUCCGUGGCUCAAAUUUUAAUCACCUGGCCUCGGCGCUUCUGAGAAUGUGCGUCUGUAACACAUUCCCAGGUGAUGCUGUCCGUUUGGAGACCACACAUUGAGAACUACUGCUGUCGACUGUUUCCUGAGCCGCUUUCACGUUUCUCCAUUUCUGCCCAUUUCCGAGAGGACUAUUUUAAUUCGGGUCACCAUGGUACACUGCUUGUUUCAUGGCAGUGAGCUCCUUUAAGAUACAAAUCUCCUUGAUUUGUGGUCAUGUCACUCCAAUCUCUGUAUCUCUGGUUAUAUUGCCACCUUCUCUUCUGCCUGAAAACUCCGUCUGCCUCUCUUAAAGUAUAUCCAGAUAAUCCAGAAUCAAACUCCUUCUCUCAAAACCCGUAAACUAAGCAUAUCCUUUGCCAUGCAAAUAAGGUACAAAUUUGCCACAAUUUGCCACUCUUUGUUAUAUUAGAUAAUAUUCACACAUUCCUGGGUUUAGACAUGCACAUAUCCUUUGGUGCCUACUAUGCAACUCUUAAGAGAAGAUUUAUGACUUGUUUUACAUUCUGGGAUAAAUUUUAUAAAAUAGAUUAUUUAUCCCAUAAAAAUUCCAGUAAAGUCCUCCACAGAUUUUGAACUAAUCAAAUAACUAGUUGUAACAAAUUGUUUUAAGUCAGUGAUUCAAUUCCUUUAACUUUUAUAUUUCUAACCAAGUUUUCUUUCUCUGAUCAGUUUUAUCCAAUUUUUUUUCCCCCUAUGAGACAGCUCAGCUUCUCUAAGUUUUGAAAUGUAUUUGUAUAAUGGUACUUACGAUACUUAGUUAAGGAUUUUUUCAUAGAUACUGCAUCUCCAGUUACGUUCUUUUCAUGUCAAAUGCUAUUUAUGAAAGUUUCCUGUAAUUUUUAGAUAAAUCUUGUCUAAGAUGUGUCCAUUUUAUUAUUCCAGAAAAUAAAAUGUUUGCUUUUGUUAAUACUC
rnacentral:lncRNA from 1 species